rnacentral:rRNA from 1 species
AUUGAACGCUGGCGGCAGGCCUAACACAUGCAAGUCGAACGGUAACAGGAAGCAGCUUGCUGCUUUGCUGACGAGUGGCGGACGGGUGAGUAAUGUCUGGGAAACUGCCCGAUGGAGGGGGAUAACUACUGGAAACGGUAGCUAAUACCGCAUAACGUCGCAAGACCAAAGAGGGGGACCUUAGGGCCUCUUGCCAUCGGAUGUGCCCAGAUGGGAUUAGCUAGUAGGUGGGGUAACGGCUCACCUAGGCGACGAUCCCUAGCUGGUCUGAGAGGAUGACCAGCCACACUGGAACUGAGACACGGUCCAGACUCCUACGGGAGGCAGCAGUGGGGAAUAUUGCACAAUGGGCGCAAGCCUGAUGCAGACAUGCCGCGUGUAUGAAGAAGGCCUUCGGGUUGUAAAGUACUUUCAGCGGGGAGGAAGGGAGUAAAGUUAAUACCUUUGCUCAUUGACGUUACCCGCAGAAGAAGCACCGGCUAACUCCGUG